rnacentral:rRNA from 1 species
GGGUUGUGAGGUUAAGCGACUAAGCGUACACGGUGGAUGCCCUGGCAGUCAGAGGCGAUGAAGGACGUGCUAAUCUGCGAUAAGCGUCGGUAAGGUGAUAUGAACCGUUAUAACCGGCGAUUUCCGAAUGGGGAAACCCAGUGUGAUUCGUCACACUAUCAUUAACUGAAUCCAUAGGUUAAUGAGGCGAACCGGGGGAACUGAAACAUCUAAGUACCCCGAGGAAAAGAAAUCAACCGAGAUUCCCCCAGUAGCGGCGAGCGAACGGGGAGCAGCCCAGAGCCUGAAUCAGUGUGUGUGUUAGUGGAAGCGUCUGGAAAGGCGUGCGAUACAGGGUGACAGCCCCGUACACAAAAAUGCACAUGCUGUGAGCUCGAUGAGUAGGGCGGGACACGUGGUAUCCUGUCUGAAUAUGGGGGGACCAUCCUCCAAGGCUAAAUACUCCUGACUGACCGAUAGUGAACCAGUACCGUGAGGGAAAGGCGAAAAGAACCCCGGCGAGGGGAGUGAAAAAGAACCUGAAACCGUGUACGUACAAGCAGUGGGAGCACAGAGCAAUCUGUGUGACUGCGUACCUUUUGUAUAAUGGGUCAGCGACUUAUAUUCUGUAGCAAGGUUAACCGAAUAGGGGAGCCGAAGGGAAACCGAGUCUUAACUGGGCGUUAAGUUGCAGGGUAUAGACCCGAAACCCGGUGAUCUAGCCAUGGGCAGGUUGAAGGUUGGGUAACACUAACUGGAGGACCGAACCGACUAAUGUUGAAAAAUUAGCGGAUGACUUGUGGCUGGGGGUGAAAGGCCAAUCAAACCGGGAGAUAGCUGGUUCUCCCCGAAAGCUAUUUAGGUAGCGCCUCGUGAAUUCAUCUCCGGGGGUAGAGCACUGUUUCGGCAAGGGGGUCAUCCCGACUUACCAACCCGAUGCAAACUGCGAAUACCGGAGAAUGUUAUCACGGGAGACACACGGCGGGUGCUAACGUCCGUCGUGAAGAGGGAAACAACCCAGACCGCCAGCUAAGGUCCCAAAGUCAUGGUUAAGUGGGAAACGAUGUGGGAAGGCCCAGACAGCCAGGAUGUUGGCUUAGAAGCAGCCAUCAUUUAAAGAAAGCGUAAUAGCUCACUGGUCGAGUCGGCCUGCGCGGAAGAUGUAACGGGGCUAAACCAUGCACCGAAGCUGCGGCAGCGACACUAUGUGUUGUUGGGUAGGGGAGCGUUCUGUAAGCCUGCGAAGGUGUGCUGUGAGGCAUGCUGGAGGUAUCAGAAGUGCGAAUGCUGACAUAAGUAACGAUAAAGCGGGUGAAAAGCCCGCUCGCCGGAAGACCAAGGGUUCCUGUCCAACGUUAAUCGGGGCAGGGUGAGUCGACCCCUAAGGCGAGGCCGAAAGGCGUAGUCGAUGGGAAACAGGUUAAUAUUCCUGUACUUGGUGUUACUGCGAAGGGGGGACGGAGAAGGCUAUGUUGGCCGGGCGACGGUUGUCCCGGUUUAAGCGUGUAGGCUGGUUUUCCAGGCAAAUCCGGAAAAUCAAGGCUGAGGCGUGAUGACGAGGCACUACGGUGCUGAAGCAACAAAUGCCCUGCUUCCAGGAAAAGCCUCUAAGCAUCAGGUAACAUCAAAUCGUACCCCAAACCGACACAGGUGGUCAGGUAGAGAAUACCAAGGCGCUUGAGAGAACUCGGGUGAAGGAACUAGGCAAAAUGGUGCCGUAACUUCGGGAGAAGGCACGCUGAUAUGUAGGUGAAGCGACUUGCUCGUGGAGCUGAAAUCAGUCGAAGAUACCAGCUGGCUGCAACUGUUUAUUAAAAACACAGCACUGUGCAAACACGAAAGUGGACGUAUACGGUGUGACGCCUGCCCGGUGCCGGAAGGUUAAUUGAUGGGGUCAGCGCAAGCGAAGCUCUUGAUCGAAGCCCCGGUAAACGGCGGCCGUAACUAUAACGGUCCUAAGGUAGCGAAAUUCCUUGUCGGGUAAGUUCCGACCUGCACGAAUGGCGUAAUGAUGGCCAGGCUGUCUCCACCCGAGACUCAGUGAAAUUGAACUCGCUGUGAAGAUGCAGUGUACCCGCGGCAAGACGGAAAGACCCCGUGAACCUUUACUAUAGCUUGACACUGAACAUUGAGCCUUGAUGUGUAGGAUAGGUGGGAGGCUUUGAAGUGUGGACGCCAGUCUGCAUGGAGCCGACCUUGAAAUACCACCCUUUAAUGUUUGAUGUUCUAACGUUGACCCGUGAUCCGGGUUGCGGACAGUGUCUGGUGGGUAGUUUGACUGGGGCGGUCUCCUCCUAAAGAGUAACGGAGGAGCACGAAGGUUGGCUAAUCCUGGUCGGACAUCAGGAGGUUAGUGCAAUGGCAUAAGCCAGCUUGACUGCGAGCGUGACGGCGCGAGCAGGUGCGAAAGCAGGUCAUAGUGAUCCGGUGGUUCUGAAUGGAAGGGCCAUCGCUCAACGGAUAAAAGGUACUCCGGGGAUAACAGGCUGAUACCGCCCAAGAGUUCAUAUCGACGGCGGUGUUUGGCACCUCGAUGUCGGCUCAUCACAUCCUGGGGCUGAAGUAGGUCCCAAGGGUAUGGCUGUUCGCCAUUUAAAGUGGUACGCGAGCUGGGUUUAGAACGUCGUGAGACAGUUCGGUCCCUAUCUGCCGUGGGCGCUGGAGAACUGAGGGGGGCUGCUCCUAGUACGAGAGGACCGGAGUGGACGCAUCACUGGUGUUCGGGUUGUCAUGCCAAUGGCACUGCCCGGUAGCUAAAUGCGGAAGAGAUAAGUGCUGAAAGCAUCUAAGCACGAAACUUGCCCCGAGAUGAGUUCUCCCUGACUCCUUGAGAGUCCUGAAGGAACGUUGAAGACGACGACGUUGAUAGGCCGGGUGUGUAAGCGCAGCGAUGCGUUGAGCUAACCGGUACUAAUGAACCGUGAGGCUUAACCUUACAACGCCGAAG